CCUUGAGAGAGGCAGCUGCUGAGAACUCACACAGACCCAUGAUCACACAGGACCGAGACACUAAUGAAUAGGUGUUGGUGCCUUUCCCCAGAUUAGCUCUCCCAAUUUUGGAGUGGCCAAAGGAUGGGGGAUAUGUCCUCCCUCCUGCCACACAAUCUGGUUUAUAACUAAAUCUAACCCCAUCCUUGUGAGCAUUUUCUUUUCUCCCUGCUGAAAUGCUUGUGGUGUUUUUUGGGAGCUAGUAGCAGGCCCCAGCAUCCUUUGAUUGCCCCCUAAUGGAAUCUCUUUGAUGACUGAGGAGGAUGAAGGAGAGAGGAAUCCGGGCCAUGACAGAGAUGGCCCCAGUUCUCUAAUUUUUGAGGCACUCACUAUGUCUGCAAUUGAGACCUCUAUUCCCCAAGAGUCCCUUAUUCUGUCUUUGUUAAAUUUCAGAAUGUACAUUUGUUCCUGCUGUGUGAUUGUCCAUCUGUCUGUGCCUGGACAACCACUCCAUCCCCACUGGAUGCAGUAAACAGCACCACUGCCCACUGGCAUUGUGAACCUGGUGUCCAUCACUGAGCUCUGCUGGGGAUAGUCUAUGUGGCAGCUGCUGUAGCUCUUGCUCAGAGUGCUGGAUCCCAGAGUAUUGCAGAAGCCCAAGUGGCCAGACCUAGAGCAAGAGCCCAAAAUCAGAACCCUGCAAGCUGGAGACCAGCAGGCAUUACCAUCUGGGGCUCCCGUAGGAGCUGGCGGUGCCAGGCCACGCUGUCCACUCGACUCUGCUGCUUGUUCCAGUGCAUGAGGAGGUGACCUUAACUUCCAGACAAUGUGGCCAGAUGAGGGAACACAGACUGCAUGGAGGACCUUGGAAGAGUUUGCGGGGCACAGCCCUGCUGGCACAAAGCCUGACACAGAAGGACACAGACACCCCUGCACGGUGAACAGUGACUGAUACUUGUCAUUUACAAGCCUCUUCUUCAGCUCAUCCCCAUGUUGAAAGCAAGAGCUGCUGAGGGCAGUGGAUGUAGGAGUCUCUUCUGGGAGCUGAACCUUUGCAGGAGGCUGGACUAGCAGGGAGAGAUGCAGAGAACUGUGGGCACAGGACAGGGUCCACCGAUUGCGAAAGCAAGAAUGGAAUGAGAAGUAUGAGCAAUGGAUCGAUAUACUAGUCGAACUGAAAUAAGAUAUUGUCAGAACUAUUUGUCCAAGGAAAAUCAGAUGUUCACAACAGAAGUUACAUUCUGAGCUAGAUUUAUCAGAGCCUCCAGCCAGGAUCACUGCACCAGGCCUAGAGAGCAGAGGGAAGAUUUGUGUCUCACUUUCCCAUGGGCCUGGAGCCCUGUGUAAGCCUCAGAGCCACUGUGAAAUCCACUGCCCCUGUGCAGACCCCGAGACAGACCCAUUCUCAGGCUGCAGCACAGCAACGUGCAAAAUCCUUGCACAGGCCGACGCAUCUUUAGAUCCCAAGAUGUGGCUGGGAGCCUCAGAGCCCUGUUUCUUACUUGAGUCCAAGUAGAAGUUCACGAGAUAUUAGAUAGGGUUCCCUGGAUUCUGCCAGAACCAGUCACCGAUUUCUUCUGAUGGAAUCACUGAUUCAUUGUGGUGAUUAUCCAAGGGUGUAUAAAUAUCUUAAAACACACAAAAUUGGGCACUUUAAAUAUCAGGGGUUUAUUUUGUUAAUUAUUCCUCAAUAAAAAGACACAUAAAAAAUAGGCUGAAACAGACCCGGCAUGGUGGCUCACGCCUGUAAUCCCAGCACUUUGGGAGGCCGAGGUGGGCGGAUCACUUAAGGUCAGGAGAUCGAGACAAUCCUGUGAAUGGUGAAACCCCAUCCCUACUAAAAAUACAAAAAAUUAGCCGGGCAUGGUGGCGGGCGCCUGUAGUCCCAG
rnacentral:lncRNA from 10 species